rnacentral:rRNA from 1 species
UACGGAGGGUGCAAGCAUUAAUCGGAAUUAUUGGGCGUAAAGGGCGCGUAGGCUGAAAAACAAGUCAGAUGUGAAAUACCAAAGCUCAACUUUGGUGCUGCAUUUGAAACUGUUUAUCUAGAGGGUUGACGGAGAAAACGGAAUUCCACGUGUAGCGGUGAAAUGCGUAGAUAUGUGGAAGAACACCAGUGGCGAAAGCGGUUUUCUAGUUUAUACCUGACGCUGAGGCGCGAGAGCAAGGGGAGCAAACAGG